AUGCCCAAGAUGUUCGGUUUCUCUCGUCGCCGGAUGAAGCUGGGGAGGUUGAAGGGUCAUCUGCAUGAUCCUUUCCAUGCCCCCCGGAGUCCUGCCCAUCCCACCAAGCGGUCCAGUCACCUCACUGGAGAAGAACCAGUGGCUACGUCAGUGAGUGGCCGUCCUGACGACCUUGCUUGGCGUUGCUCCUCUGAUACUUUUGACCUCAAUGGCCGUGCAUUUGAAAACUCAGAGAACUGGGCAGUAUUGUCAACGGACGGGGAUAAACCGAGUCCUCGUUUUGAUCAUGCAGCAGCCAUGGUAGGGAGCAAAAUGAUUGUCUUCGGUGGAGAUUCCGGUAAUCAUUUGCUGGAUGAUACAAAGAUAUUAAGCUUAGACAAGCUUACAUGGGAUUCUGUGGCUUCUAAAGUUCGUGUAUCACCAGCUGGACGUCGUGCGCAGUUUCGACCAUGCAAAGGACAUUGCCUGGUUCCAUGGGGCAAGACUGUCAUUCUUGUCGGAGGGAAAAGCGAGCCAUCUUCUGACCGGAUAUCAGUAUGGACAUUCAAUACGGAAACCGAGAUCUGGUCGCAUAUGGAAGCGAAGGGCGACAUUCCGGUGGCUCGAAGUGGUCAUACAGUGACUAGAGCAGGCCCUGUUUUAAUUCUUUUUGGGGGCGAGGAUACCAAAGGGAAGAAACUACAUGACCUUCAUAUGUUUGAUCUGAAGUCCUUAACAUGGCUUCCUUUGAACUAUAAAGGUGCUGGACCUUCUCCAAGAUCCAAUCAUGUUGCUGCACUUUACGAUGAUAGAAUUCUUUUGAUUUUUGGAGGCCAAUCAAAAUCCAAGACCUUGAAUGAUGUCCACGCUCUAGAUUUUGAAACAAUGGUAUGGUCAAGAAUGAGAACACAUGGUCAUCAUCCAUCACCUCGGGCAGGUUGCUGUGGAGCUCUCUGUGGGACGAAAUGGUAUAUAGCAGGGGGUGGAAGCAAGAAAAGGCGUCAUCCGGAAACUUGGGUCUUUGAUGUCCUAGAAUCCAAGUGGUCUGUUUGUGUAGUACCUCCUAGUUCCUCCAUCACUACCAAGAAAGGUUUCAGCAUGGUUCCUUUGUACUACAGGGAUAAGAUUGUUCUUGUUUCAUUUGGAGGAAACAAAAAGGAGCCAUCUGAUAAGGUCGAAGUACUAGUGGUGCUGCAAAAUGAACAUUGUUUCAGUUGGCGGUCUGCCCCUGAUGCAGAACCCUUAAUGUAUGAGGACUCUUCUCCUAGCUCAAAGGAACUCGCCGAUCACCUCAACAACUGUGAUCCUUUGUACUCUAACUCUGUAGCAAGGCAUAGUCUCGCGACAACAGUGGAAAGCUCAUCUGGGAGGAAAUCGCUCCCUGAUUCACUCCUACAUAACUCGAAGGUGGGCGGCUCAUCACUCCGCAGGCAGUUCCGUCAGGAGGAGGAAUGCAGCCUGGCCCAAAAACUGCAGAAGCCUAUCGACGAUGACAAGUACAAGGAUGUUGACGAUUGUUCUGAGCUACCAUCCUUCGCAAACCAAAAGCAGCGGAGUGACACAUAUCAUUCUCCAGAUGCGGAUGCUAAAACGAAGAGGGUGGGCAGAAGUUCGUCUGACAUUAACCAUCAGCAUGAUACAAAAAUCGCAAACCUGGUCAGGAGAAACAUGGCGUUGGAAGAGCAACUUUCCGCUGCAAUGGCGAGCAAAGAUGAAGCAGAAAAGAACUUAUCUCUGGUCAUUGACACGAAGGAAGAGCUAGAGAGGAGGCUAGCUGAGAGAGACAGGGAAGUUGUGGCGCUGAAGGAGAAAGUGGGAGGAUUAGAACAGGCACACGAAGAUUCGAACAACGCCUCAAACACUGUCCAUGCUGAUAACGUGCGGCUCGAGCGUGAAGUGGCGUUCUUGAAGGCAGUCAUGGAUGAAACUCAGAAGGAGUUGCACUCGACCCGCGGAGUUCUAGCAGGAGAGCGCGCGAGGGCAUUCCAGCUCCAGGUUGAAGUGUUUCAUCUGAAGCAAAGGCUGCAAUCAAUGGAUGGACGGUCACCUACACAAAGAAAACCUCAGAAUCUCUAG
rnacentral:rRNA from 1 species